GAUGAACGCUGGCGGCGUGCCUAAUACAUGCAAGUCGAGCGAACAGACGAGGAGCUUGCUCCUCUGACGUUAGCGGCGGACGGGUGAGUAACACGUGGAUAACCUACCUAUAAGACUGGGAUAACUUCGGGACACCGGAGCUAAUACCGGAUAAUAUAUUGAACCGCAUGGUUCAAUAGUGAAAGACGGCUUUGCUGUCACUUAUAGAUGGAUCCGCGCUGCAUUAGCUAGUUGGUAAGGUAACGGCUUACCAAGGCAACGAUGCGUAGCCGACCUGAGAGGGUGAUCGGCCACACUGGAACUGAGACACGGUCCAGGCUCCUACGGGAGGCAGCAGUAGGGAAUCUUCCGCAAUGGGCGAAAGCCUGACGGAGCAACGCCGCGUGAGUGAUGAAGGUCUUCGGAUCGUAAAACUCUGUUAUUAGGGAAGAACAAAUGUGGAAGUAAAUAUGCACGUCUUGACGGUACCUAAUCAGAAAGCCACGGCUAACUACGUG
rnacentral:rRNA from 1 species